AUGCCCUCCUUCCCUCCCCCCCUUCCCCGAAAGUCAGUGAGCAGAUUGUGCUGUUUUUAUUCCAAGUUCUUCAUUACGCAGAAGCCUGAGUACCCAACCGGCUGGAAUUCCGACAGGAGGAUCAUCUGUUUAUGUUGGAGCCACGCUGGCUGCCACCCUCAUCACCGCGGCGCCCGAGGUACCACGAAUGUGAAAGAGCCAAGGCAGGUGUAAGCUGGAGAAGAAAGACAAACAGGGAAGGCUCACACAUUGGAAGAGCACUAAGUAAGAUUUACUACUGAGCCAGCAAGCGGGACGACAGUGUGGUCGAUAUGCAUCUUGCCAACAAGCACAGCGUGUCUUACAGAUAGUAUUUGGUUCUUCACAGACUAGCGUAUUCUCGGUUGAGGGUGGGGACGAGGAAGAGAGCACUUGACAGUCCCCCGGGAGUUUUUGUAGACCUCACACACCCGUUUCCCCACCCUUUUGCAGAGAUUUUGGUGCCCUCCUAUUUGAGAAGCGUGGUGCCAUUUACGGACAUGUUCCCAAAGAUAACCCAUGGUACUUUCAUUCUAUGAACAGAUCAGAGCAUAGAAAAAAUGAAAUUAUGCUACUUCCCACCAAUCAAACUCUUCCCCAGGCCAGACCUCAGCCCAGUCUUAGAGCCUUGGCACCAACCCACAGGCUCACCAGUCUUUAUGAAUUUGAUCCUUUGCAUUUAAUUAAAAGAAAUCAUUUAAACUUACAGGGAACAUUAAGUCAUUGGUAGCUAUGGGAGACCAGGAGGUCAUGGGUAAUUGAUAUCCAGUGAUAAUCCCCAAGCCUCAAUUGGAUCAGUGAUUUCAACUCCCCCUCCAAAUAGACUUUUAUUGGAGUGCUAAUAAUGUCGCUGCUUCGGCUGGUUUGUGCCCCAUCUCCUAUCCUCGCCUUACUCCAUCUCCCAGUGGAAGAGCUAAGUAUUGAAAAGACCCAUGGGCAGACAGCCAGUGAAGGAAGUAGCUGCAAUAUCCCACAGCACAGAAUAAUUGAGCUGCUAUAUACGUGCGUCCCACUUCAAGUACAGCUAAUACCAAAAAAUUCAAAUCU
rnacentral:lncRNA from 1 species